UACGUAGGGGGCAAGCGUUGUCCGGAAUUAUUGGGCGUAAAGAGCGUGUAGGCGGCCAGAUAAGUCCGCUGUGAAAUCUCGAGUCUCAACUUCGAGCUGUCGGUGGAAACUAUCUGGCUAGAGUCCGGAAGAGGAGAAUGGAAUUCCUGGUGUAGCGGUGAAAUGCGCAGAUAUCAGGAAGAACACCCGUUGCGAAGGCGGUUCUCUGGGACGGUACUGACGCUGAGACGCGAAAGCGUGGGGAGCGAACAGG
rnacentral:rRNA from 1 species